GUGUUCUUAUUGAUUCCGACUUGACUUUCAAGAGUCAUAUCGCAUCCAUCACAAAAACUGUCAAGAACCUCCGGUACGGGGGCGGACGCAAAUGCAGGACUUCGAGGCCGAGGCAUAACGUUCAGUGUGCUUUAUUCCGGAAACUGGGUCAGACACGGUGUAGCAGUCCGACAAGGCAGAGGCACAGAAACGCUAGGCUAGGCGGGAUCCGAAAGACGUACACCAAGGUCCGAUGACUCUGGGGCAAACCAACAAACUCAACAGGACGGGAUCAAACUAAAGGGCAUAGAAUCGCUCUGACCAAGGUUAUUCUAACUUACGCAUAGAAGCGGAGAGUCCCACAGGCAGCGAAUGCAACAAAAGCAAAAGCUCCAAUUUAAAUUCCCAUCUAAUUACAGUCCGAAUGUGAAACAGCUGUGAGAGGUGACAGGGGUCACCCCCCAGAGCAGUGGCCUGGCCACGCCCCUCUUGGCAUUAGCCAAGCCUUGCUCAUGACAAAAACUGCCUUUCAUCAUCUGGAGAACAUAUCUAGAGUGAAGGCUUGUAUGUGUCAAGCAGACCAGGAAAAACACACCCAUGCUUUUCUCUCAAGUAGACUUGACUACUCUAAUGGUCUUCUGACUGGACUGGCUGCAAUAAGUUGCCAAAAGAGCACGUUGCCCUGAUUUCCGCUUGCCUUUGAAAAGGACCACAUUGUAAGAUUUAUUUCUGAGUGCAAGGAUACGUCGAUGAAGAGGUUCAAUGUGGAGAGACGCCUCCUGACUCUAUUUUGACGCAUUUCUUCAAAGAGAUCUUUGUCAGGAUGCUCAGAGUAAAGGUCACGUGAAUGUCCCCAAGCCAGGAGCAAGAGCACGCUUGAUUUUUACAUCGUCCAUGUCAACCGCUGCCGUGUAUUGAAGUGACAGCCCGAGUCGCCGCUAUCAAGUGCGAGGGGAAACUGGAAAAAGCAACAACAUCCUUGCCACUGUGAACCAAUCCGUUAACACGAGCCAGGACGGAAAGAGCAUCAACGCGUCCGAUCCGGUUCCCCUCGACAUCAAACUUUCAUACCCGUCCAGACGACGACGACCCGGCGGCCCCGGUGACCCAGACGAGCGCCACCUGUUUAAAUAUGCCUCAUUGCAAAUUUGAUGAACGCCGACAGUGUUGGUUUAAAAAAAAAAAAAAAAAAAAUCAAUAAUAAAUGCUGACAUCAGACGCCGCGGUGGUACGGUGGACCCUCUGGAGCGGCGGCAACAAAAGGAGCCGGAACAAAGGCGGCUUGGAGAAAGUGGAGCUGGUCUGGACGGCCAACUUUCCCCUCCCGAACACCACAAAGUGAUCCCCCCCCCAAAACAGCACGAGAAGCUGUCAAGAGCCCUCAUAAAUUCAUCAUGCGCGAUGAGCUGCUUUCCAUGUGAAAGGGACGACCCGGGAUACCCCGACGACAAAAACAACGCUAAUCCGCCGUAAGACAAGCGGGCUCGCUCGCUAAAACUAACAAUCGUGCGAGACUUCACACGUGGCCAUAAUAGAGAUAGGAAUUAAUAGUGAGUACGACGACUUGCAGUAUAUACUUUAAGCUAUUUUUAUACAGACAGCCUUUGUUCAGAUUCACACAUGCAUAUAUUGUAUGUUAUUCUAUUUUAAAUCAUUGAUAUGCGGACGCGCAUUGUUGACGCUCACGCUGCUGAUUGUUAGCAUUCCACGUUUUGUCUGUGACGCUGCCAUUUAUUGUUGCUGCUCUCCACAGU